rnacentral:rRNA from 1 species
GAUGAACGCUAGCGGGAGGCUUAAUACAUGCAAGUCGAGGGGCAGCACGGGUAGCAAUACCUGGUGGCGACCGGCGCACGGGUGCGUAACGCGUAUGCAACCUACCUUCAACUGGGGAAUAGCCCCGAGAAAUCGGGAUUAAUACCCCAUAACAUUUACGAGAGGCAUCUCUUGUAAAUUAAAGCUCCGACGGUUGAAGAUGGGCAUGCGUGACAUUAGCUAGUUGGUGAGGUAACGGCUCACCAAGGCUACGAUGUCUAGGGGUUCUGAGAGGAUGAUCCCCCACACUGGUACUGAGACACGGACCAGACUCCUACGGGUGGCUG